CUAACCAUAUUGUUUCUUAUUUCACCUUCAAGUGGUCAAAAUCGCACCACGUUUGAAUAAAUCUUAACGAGCGAGCUUAAGCUGGAUUAGACAAAAUGGUGUGUAUGUUGAGCCCCUCAUCUUCUUUUUUUAUAUAUAGCAACUUAGAAGCUCAGAUUUGCAGUGAAAUAACUUUAGCUAGCUCUCAUCAUACAUCUGUGGGGAUUGUACACACUAAAUAUUGGCAUCAAGCAAAGUUAUGUAAAAAUGAAUCAAAA
rnacentral:lncRNA from 1 species